AUUGAACGCUGGCGGCAGGCCUAACACAUGCAAGUCGAGCGAGCGGCGGACGGGUGAGUAAUGUAUGGGGACUGCCCGGUCGAGGGGGAAAACUCCUGGGAACGGGGGGUAAUACCGCAUACUGUCGGGUAUGCGAUAGGGGAUUAGCUGAUAGGUAAGGGAAUGGUGUACGUAGGCGACGAUCCCUAGCUGGCGGGAGAGGAUGAUGAGCGACACGGGGACUGGGACACGGCCCAGAUUCCUACGGAGGCAGCAGGGGGGAAUAUUGCACAAUGGGCGCAAGGCUGAUGCAGCCAGGCCGCGUGUAUGAAGAAGGCCCUAGGCUUGUAAAGUACUUUCAGUCUGGAGGCGUUACCUACAGAAGAAGCACCGGCUAACUCCGUGCCAGCAGCCGCGGUAAUUC
rnacentral:rRNA from 1 species